AUUGAACGCUGGCGGCACGCUUAACACAUGCAAGUCGAACGGCAGCACGAGAAGGGUACCCCUCUGGGGGGCGAGGGGCGGGCGGGUGAGUCACGCGGAGGGAUCAGCUUAUUAAAGGGGGAUAAGUCGUGGAAACGCAGCUAAAUACCGCAUACGCUCUGAGGAGGAAGGGUCGGGAGCGGGAGACGGCCCAAUCGCUAAUAGGUGAUCCUGCGGUUGAUUAGCUAGUUGGUAGGGUAAAGGCCUACCAAGGCGACGAUCCAUAGCAGGUCUGAGAGGAUGACCCGCCACACUGGAACUGAGACACGGUCCAGACUCCUACGGGAGGCAGCAGUAGGGAAUCUUGCACAAUGGGCGAAAGCCUGAUGCAGCGAUGCCGCGUGUGUGAUGAAGGUCUGCGGGUUGUAAAGCACUUUAGUUAGUGAGGAACGGGGAUGCGUUAAUCGCGCGUUAACGUGACGUUACCCAAUCAGUAAGCACCGGCUAACUCUGUG
rnacentral:rRNA from 1 species